rnacentral:rRNA from 1 species
UACGGGGGGGGCAAGCGUUGUUCGGAAUUACUGGGCGUAAAGCGCUCGUAGGCGGCCAACUAAGUCAGACGUGAAAUCCCUCGGCUUAACCGGGGAACUGCAUCUGAUACUGGAUGGCUUGAGUUCGGGAGAGGGAUGCGGAAUUCCAGGUGUAGCGGUGAAAUGCGUAGAUAUCUGGAGGAACACCGGUGGCGAAGGCGGGUCUCUGGGCCGAUACUGACGCUGAGGAGCGAAAGCGUGGGGAGCGAACAGG